UCUCGAACCUCCACCGGAACGUGCUGCAGUGCAAGUGAUGCAAGCCAAAAUCCCUGCAGGCCUUCAUCAUCUUCUUCAUCUGCUACUUCUUCUCCUCAAAAAAAAAGUGCAUGGAGGCGAGGAGAGGUUUCUAUUUUUGCGUCUGGGCUGAAAGGACCAGGUUCAAAGAGGCUGGAGAAGGACUUUCAUGGCUGCUGAAGGACGGUCACCUUACACCACUGUGAACACAGGGCGAGGUUCAGAGAUCGGCAGGUGCGGGGAGGCGUGAGGGCACAUAAAAAAGGUUGCUUAUGAAGUUCUAGCGAACAAUCAAUAUGCAUUUCCGAACUCGCUCAGAAGUGCAACAAGAGCAGGACAAGAAAAAAAAAAAGGAAAUGCCAAAGAGACACCCAAACCUGGAGCUUUACAAAAUGAAAGCAAAAAAAAAAAACCAAAAAGGUUGCGCUGACAGUUCACAUAUUUGUUUCUGGAAAAGUUCUGUGUUUUGUAACCGUUGUCUUCUUUCAACUCGGCCGUCAAAGGAC